AGGAAUCUCAUAAGGAUGGCAAUGAGAAUGGGCUUGUAGUAGUACGGGAGUUUGAUUUCAGCCCACGACAAAGAGUGAGUCUAGAGGAUGGAAAUGGACUUCAUGAGACAUCAGUGAUUAAGACCAUGAGGAGCCAGGGAAGGCCUAGGCAGAACAGGGACAUGUAAGUGUGAGGGUAGCGUACACAGAGGAAUGUGGUAAAGUGGUCCUGGGGCAGUGAGUCGUGUAGUAAGGGGUAGAUGGGUGGGGUAGUAUAAAUAGGUUGCCAUCUUACAUGAUAGCAGUCAUCUUAAUUAUCAGUUGGUAACAGCUUGGUAAUUGUUGGUUGUUGC